GUGUGUGCGCGCGCGCAAGUGCUAACGGCAUACCUUGCCCUCACAAAAAAGUGUUGCAGCUUGAUGGCACAAUCAAGAGGACUUCUUAAGAGAUAAAAAAAAGGAAAAAUCAGAAUUUGAUGGCAACUAACUUGAGUGUUUAUUUCUCCCUACAAUGUAAUCGUAGCUUACAUCAGUGGCUUCAUUUAUUCCAAGAACAGGGAAGCUCUCGAAAAGAAAACAUUGUUCAUUGAACUUCAAUAAGACUGCAAACUUUUUUGUUUUUGUAUUAACAAAAAAAAAAAAAAGACAACGAAAAGGUUGUACAAAUAUGUUCCAAGUUAUUUUUGUAAACCAUACCAAAAGUUUUACAGUGUUUUUAAAGAAAAGAAUGUAUAUUGUUGGACACUAAAAUGAACGGAUACCAAACUGCAGUAGCCGAAACAGCGAUGGGAGACAGUAUUCAUUGGAAUGAUUUUUUUCUUUCUUUUCUUUGUUUGGCAGUUGAGGCUGACCAUAAAAAAAGGAUCUUCAGUCUGAGGGUUUCUUGUGAACAAACUAAUACCUUCAUUAAUGAGCUGACAAAAAAGGUGUGGUUUUGAAAUAUAUAUUUAUAGGAAGUUGUUUAUUUUUCAGGAAGUUUCUUUUUGUUUCAGAAUGUUUAAUUUUAGGAAUACCAGAAUGUUCUUUCAUACGGGCUACUUGUCAGACAGACGGCCUCACUGACCUCCAUAUCACCCACGACACACACAGACACGCUUGCAUGCAUACACACACACACACAGACACACACACAGACACGCUUGCAUGCAUACACACAUUUUCAUGCACCCCUAUACAAACCCAUUCAUUGCAACCUCAUCACACAGCACGUUUUGAAAGCCACAACUUACAGGACCUGACUCAGGCACUGAUCUCGUCGCAGUUUUUGUCCUUACAUGGAUUAUUUUCUCUUUGUUAUUUUAAGGUAUAGCUGACCCAGGUUUAUAAAGUAUGUACUUUUUUUAUUUUCCUAAAUGACAGUCAUCCACAAAAACUUCCAUGGGAUGCUUUGGUUUGCAUGGAACUGAAGCUUUAGCAUGUUGCAAGAGGGUAUGACCCCCAUAUUUUGCAUCAUCAGUAGUUUGAUGGGCAGUACACCUUUGUCUAGAUCCAUGUUAUUCCCCCACCUCCCCACCCCACCCUACCCUACCCUACCCCAGGUUGGCAGAGGCAAGCCUAGGCUGUGUGACAGUGCAAUCUAGAUAGAAAGAACAUCUGAUUAUCUUUUAGUUUUUAUUGUUUUUCUCUUUUUAUUUGCACCGUUUGAAUAAAAUUCUCAUUGUAUUUAAACACUA
ensembl:lncRNA